AUCCUUAACUGGCAGGGGAGAGACCAUGAUCACGAAGGUGGUUUUCCCAGGGUGAGGCUCAGCCAUUGCACUCCGGAUGUGUUGACCUCUGCAAUUUCCCCAAAUGUGGGAAACUCGACUGCAUAGUUUGUGGCAGUGGAAGACUGCAUUCGUGCUUUCCCCUG
ensembl:snRNA U1 U1 spliceosomal RNA